CUCACCAAGGCGACGAUGCGUAGCCGACCUGAGAGGGUGAUCGGCCACAUUGGGACUGAGACACGGCCCAGACUCCUACGGGAGGCAGCAGUGGGGAAUAUUGCACAAUGGGGGAAACCCUGAUGCAGCAACGCCGCGUGAGUGAUGACGGCCUUCGGGUUGUAAAGCUCUGUCUUCAGGGAAGAAACAAAUGACGGUACCUGAAGAGGAAGCCACGGCUAACUAC
rnacentral:rRNA from 1 species